GGUGAUUGAAUCACAAGACGCUUCCAGAGGUUCAUCAGCGCUUUCCUGUGACACCUCGGAUUGUAAACUGAGAUCAGCCAGGAGAGAACCGGUGCAGAAUGUGUGCAAAGGUCAGGACAGACAUGCGCCACAGAAGCCGGCACAGACUAAUCAUCUCGCUGUGACCUCGCCAGACAGAGACCUAUACCGUCAAAGCACAGAAAUUAAAUUCCAGACAAAGCCCAGACUGGUUGAGUUACAUCAGUUCCCCGGACUUUCAGAUGGUCACCCUAUG